UACAUACAUACAUACAUACAUACAUACAUAAUGCAUGCUUUUAUGUAUGUAUGUAUGUAUGUAUGUAUGUA
rnacentral:pre_miRNA from 1 species